UUUAACUGAAGAGUUUGAUCAUGGCUCAGAUUGAACGCUGGCGGCAGGCUUAACACAUGCAAGUCGAGCGGGGGAAGGUAGCUUGCUACUGGACCUAGCGGCGGACGGGUGAGUAAUGCUUAGGAAUCUGCCUAUUAGUGGGGGACAACAUCUCGAAAGGGAUGCUAAUACCGCAUACGUCCUACGGGAGAAAGCAGGGGAUCUUCGGACCUUGCGCUAAUAGAUGAGCCUAAGUCGGAUUAGCUAGUUGGUGGGGUAAAGGCCUACCAAGGCGACGAUCUGUAGCGGGUCUGAGAGGAU
rnacentral:rRNA from 1 species